rnacentral:rRNA from 1 species
GACGAACGCUGGCGGCGUGCUUAACACAUGCAAGUCGAACGCUGAAGCUCAGCUUUUGUUGGGUGGAUGAGUGGCGCGCGGGUGAGUAACACGUGAGUAACCUGCCCCCUUCUUUGGGAUAACGCCCGGAAACGGGUGCUAAUACAGGAUAUUCAAUGGUCAUCGCCUGGGGGUUGGUGGAAAGGGUUUUUCUGGUGGGGGAUGGGCUCGCGGCCUAUCAGCUUGUUGGUGGGGUGAUGGCCUACCAAGGCUUUGACGGGUAGCCGGGCUGAGCGGGUGACCGGGCACAUGGGGACUGAGAUACGGCCCAGACUCCUACGGGAGGCAGCAGUGGGGAAUAUUGCACAAGGGGCGCAAGCCUGAUGCAGCGACGCCGCGUGAGGGAUGGAGGCCUCCGGGUUGUGAACCUCUUUCGCUCAUGGUCAAGCCGCAACAAUGGUUGUGGUGAGGGUAGUGGGUAAAGAAGCGCCGGCUAACUACGUG